AACAGCUAGCACAUUGCUCAGGAUGCAGCUGCUUGUCCAGAGGGGUGUGAAGGGAAGGCGGACAGGCACCAGGGAGGCAGUCUACAAACUGAGUGCACUGCUUACACAGGAGGAAACUGACAAAGAGGCCCCAGAGGAGGCAGAUUCUAGCCUGCAGCUUCCCCAUCCCUCAAAGCAUGCAGGUUAUGCUUCUUGAGAUGCAAAACUGAAAUCUAAUCACGAGGAGCCGUCACAUAAACCCAAUUUGAGGAACCUUCUACAAAACAACUGGCCUGUAACCUGGUUGCAGAGAGGAAAGGAGGAAAUUUUUCGAUAGAAAAAUCUUGGAGAUCCUGUUGCUGUCACCCAUCGGGCUGUUGGAAGCUGGGGUUAGUCCAGAAGUCUUCAGUAUCAUGUGCAAUGUACAAAUAAAAAGGAACAAAAGGAGAUGCCCUGAAAAGCAAGUCUCUCUCCCACCUCUGACCCCCAGCCACGCACCCUCUCCCCACUGAGGCGUUUCCUGUACUCAAAGGUAUUUUGUGCACAUGCUAAUGAACAUGUAUAUAUACACCUGACUCCUCCCCUUUUCACAAUGGUGGCUGUUCUGCCUGCUUUUUUUCUUUUUUCUUGGCAGUACAUCUUGGAGAUGUUUCCUAUUGGCUCAUGUGGAGCUGCCCAUUCUUUUGUACAGCAGCAGAGCAGUCUGUUAUUUGGAUGAACUGUCAUUUAUUAACUAGACAUGCCCACAACCCUGCCACCUCUUUUCCUAACACACUGGGCAGUCUUGGCCUCUCCCAGGCUCCCUGGGAGGGUCACUACUUUCACAAAGAUGAUGCCCACUUCUGCCCAUGGAAUCUGGCUUGCCCAGUGACUACCUGACAGGGUUGAGUGACACCACCCAGAAGUGCAAAGAAGGCAGUAAAGAAGAAAGAAGAAUUUAUUAGGUGCCCGAGGAAGGGCUCAAUCCUGCCAGUCUAAACAUUGUUGUACAUACCUCCUGAUAUGUUUUUCUAGAAUGUCUCCAGGAAGGGAUUGCUGGGAAUAAGUGCAAAAUAAUGCCCAAUUGUUCUCCAGAGUGGUUGUACAACUGACUCCCUUAUCACCAGUGUCAAGGAGUCCUUGUUCCACAUAAUUGAUCACAUUUGGACUUGUCUAGCUUUUUAAGUUUUGCCAAUUGAGUAGACAGGAAAUGAGCUUUUAAUUUGGAUUUCUCUAAUUACUCAGAGGUUGAGCAUCUUUUCAAAUGUUUGUUGGCUAUUCAUGUUUUCGCUUCUCUAUGUCUGUCCAAAUCUUUAGUCCAUUUUUCUUUUUGAUUGUUUGUCCUUGUCUUAUUGAAUUGUAGGGGUUCUUUAUAUAUUUGGGUGCUAAUCUUUGUCAGUUAAAUUGUUACGGACAUCUUCUAGCUUGUGACUUGUCUUUCCACUUUUAAAAAAUGGUGAACUUUGAUGAACGGUAUCGGUUGUAAUGUAACUAAUUUAUUAAUAUAUGCCUUUAUGGUUUGUCCUUUCUGUUUCUUGCUUCAGGAAUCCUUUCCAACCCAAAGCCAUCCCCAUGUUUCUAUGAUGCACAUGUAUAUAUAUUAUUUAUUUAUUUA
rnacentral:lncRNA from 1 species